rnacentral:rRNA from 1 species
GAUGAACGCUGGCGGCGUGCCUAAUACAUGCAAGUCGAGCGAACGGACGAGAAGCUUGCUUCUCUGAUGUUAGCGGCGGACGGGUGAGUAACACGUGGAUAACCUACCUAUAAGACUGGGAUAACUUCGGGAAACCGGAGCUAAUACCGGAUAAUAUUUUGAACCGCAUGGUUCAAAAGUGAAAGACGGUCUUGCUGUCACUUAUAGAUGGAUCCGCGCUGCAUUAGCUAGUUGGUAAGGUAACGGCUUACCAAGGCAACGAUGCAUAGCCGACCUGAGAGGGUGAUCGGCCACACUGGAACUGAGACACGGUCCAGACUCCUACGGGAGGCAGCAGUAGGGAAUCUUCCGCAAAGGGCGAAAGCCUGACGGAGCAACGCCGCGUGAGUGAUGAAGGUCUUCGGAUCGUAAAACUCUGUUAUUAGGGAAGAACAUAUGUGUAAGUAACUGUGCACAUCUUGACGGUACCUAAUCAGAAAGCCACGGCUAUCUACGUG